rnacentral:lncRNA from 1 species
GAGGGAGGUUCAGCAAGAUUAUUGGAAAUCUUCAACUGAAAAUACAGACAUAGAACAUUAGUGUCCAGAGGGUGUGAAUUCCAGAUCAGAGAACAUCAAAGCUUGCACUUGUUUUGUCAUUUGCCAUGACUGAUAAAGGUUAGAUUUGAAGAGAUCAAUGGAUCUUUUCAUGAUUAUUUCCUAAUGACUUUGCUUAUUGAAAAAGUCAUGGCAGUCUCUUGCCAAAUUAUCCAACGUUUUUGGUAUUUUGUUUUUUCUCCGGAGGGUCGAUGACAAUGUCAAGAAAGAUAUCUUGCCAUGAAGCUUCGAAGGUUGACGGGAUGUUUUGGGCGAAUCCAUAUAAUAUUAAAAGAUUUUGAAUAGAUUCUCCUUAUCUGCUCUAGAAAGAGCAUGAAAAGGAGAGUAUGACAAUCUAGGAUCUCACCUAAAA